AAUAAGAUGCCUGAUCAAAAGGAUUAUCUUGAUAGGAUAAAUAAUGUAUAAAUUAUACUCUUAUUA
rnacentral:tRNA from 1 species